rnacentral:rRNA from 1 species
GGGGAAUAUUGGACAAUGGGCGCAAGCCUGAUCCAGCAAUGCCGCGUGGGUGAAGACGGCCUGCGGGUUGUAAAGCCCUUUAGGUGGGGAAGAACGGUGGUGUGCGAACAGUGCGCCGCCUUGACGUUACCCACGGAAUAAGCACCGGCUAACUCCGUGCCAGCAGCCGCGGUAAUACGGGGGGUGCGAGCGUUAAUCGGAAUUACUGGGCGUAAAGCGUGCGUAGGCGGUUCGGUCAGUCAGCCGUGAAAGCCCUGGGCUUAACCUGGGAACGGCGGUUGAGACGGCCAAACUCGAGUGGGCUAGAGGAUCGUGGAAUUCCGGGUGUAGCGGUGAAAUGCGUAGAGAUCCGGAGGAACACCGAUGGCGAAAGCAGCGGUCUGGGGCCACACUGACGCUGAGGCACGAAAGCGUGGGGAGCAAAC